AACGAACGCUGGCGGCAGGCUUAACACAUGCAAGUCGAACGCCCCGCAAGGGGAGUGGCAGACGGGUGAGUAACGCGUGGGAAUCUACCUAGUUCUACGGAACAACAGAGGGAAACUUCUGCUAAUACCGUAUACGCCCUAAGGGGGAAAGAUUUAUCGGAAUUAGAUGAGCCCGCGUAAGAUUAGCUAGUUGGUGGGGUAAUGGCCUACCAAGGCGACGAUCUUUAGCUGGUCUGAGAGGAUGAUCAGCCACACUGGGACUGAGACACGGCCCAGACUCCUACGGGAGGCAGCAGUGGGGAAUAUUGGACAAUGGGCGCAAGCCUGAUCCAGCCAUGCCGCGUGAGUGAUGAAGGCCUUAGGGUUGUAAAGCUCUUUCAGUGGGGACGAUAAAUGACGGUACCCACAGAAGAAGCCCCGGCUAAACUUCGUG
rnacentral:rRNA from 1 species